rnacentral:misc_RNA from 1 species
CUGUUAAAAAAGGCCGAUUUAGAAUCACACAGUUGGCUGUACUGACUCUGACUGCCAAUGACAAUGACGUUUGUUUUAAGUUUUAACCUAUAAACAUAAAUUAUCAAAAUUCAAAAAGAAGCCGGUAAAAUAUUGCUGAUUUUUUUAAUAAAGUGUAUUCUUGCGAUCUCCAGUCAUGGAUAUUUCAUUGUCUGAAGGGUCUGAGACUGCAAAAGACUUAGUGAUGAAAUUUUUAAUUGAAGUAGGUACUUUCAAAUUGGAAGACAAAUGGAUAGAAUAUCAAAGUAAAAUAGAAUUAUUUUUCAAAGAACAUACUAAUUUCGACAACAUUCUGAGAGCGCCACUACUUCUAGCCAUAUUGCCACCUCAAUGCCAUGAUAUUUUAGAGGGUGUCAGCGAUGGCCAACAACUUGAUAAUCUUAGUUACGAAUUUGUACUUAAGGCAUUGGACAACCAUUUCUAUCCCAAAAAGGAUGUUGCAUACUAUCGUGAGCUGUUUCAAUUCAGGAAACAAUACCAAGGCCAAUCCUUUAUUCAUUAUGUUAGGGUUUUGCGAAACAUGAUGGCAGAGUGUAAUUUCAGUAAAAAAAGUAAACACAGUAAAUUAAGAAACCAGUUAAUAGCAGGGGUACUACCUGAAAUUAAGAGUAAAAUUAAUCAAAACUCUAUGUCGCUUUCACAAGUGUUUGAGGUUGGAUUAGCUUUCGAUGAAGAAAAGAAUCGAAAGCAUUCUAAGUUUUUAAAGAGACAGCCGAAAUGUUUUAGAUGUGCUCAAGCGCUCUACUUACACGGAGCUGAUCCAUGUUUCUUCGAGUGGUCUAUUUGUGGUGGUUGUGGAGUAAAAGGUCACGUGACUUCAGCUUGUAAGUACAAAAGGAAGAAUUGUGAUAACUGUGAUGAACUAGGACACGUUAAAAAGUUAUGUAAAAAAUCUCAUGGAGAUGUAGCUGCAGCAGCAGUCGAAGCUAUUAAAAUAGAGUAAAUAUUUUGAUUAUUCUGUUGUAAUUCUACACAAUUGUGAUGAUUCCUGUUAUAAUUAUUAAGUAAUAGAUAUGGGUGACUUCAUGCUGCACAUGUUUUAAUUAAUACAGUAGACUCGCGAUUAUCCGAGUCUCGGUUAUCCGAGCCCCUCGGUUAACCGAGGCAAAAGUCAUAACUGGUGAGUUACAACUUUCAACCUUGGUGCAACAUUGCCGCCUCAAAAAGAGGAUUGAAGCUUACGCAAAAAUCAAUCAAAGGACUUUUUAAACAGUAAUAUUGAUAAGAUAAAUGUUUUUAUCUCUUAUAGACAAAACUGACAAAACUAUAGACAAUUACCUCGGAUAAUCGCGAGUCUACUGUACAUACUUUUAUAAUAUUAUAUUUUGAUACUGCAAUCGUUUUUUAUAUAUUUUAAUUACCAAAGGUCUUUCUUUAGAUAUUAUAAAACCAUAACAUUCAUAUAAAAAUUUAAACAAAAAUCAGGUAGCACCAUCCGGUGAUUAAGAUCAAACUCACAAUUCUUUUAUUAUUUAUCCUCCGGUACAUUUUCCAAUUUGAAUCUCUGUUCAUGUUUAGAAGUAGCAAGGGGCCAAUGAACAAUACCUUCAUAACUAACAGGAACAAUAGGUUGAAUGUUUGAAUUAAUUUUGUGGACUGAAUGUUCCGCUACCACUAGUUGGCUUGUUGUAUGUAGUUGCCUUGAGAACUACAUACGUGAUGCCGAUCUUAUAAAAAAGACUUUGUAAUCGAACAUUCUUCUUCUUUAAGUUCCAUCUUCUAUCGAAGGUAAUCAUCAUGGCAAUGCGGACCCUGUUGACUGCCGCUCUAAAUAACUCUGCACUACUGCAUUCGAACCAUUCCCGUAAGUUCUUAAGCCAGGAUGUUCUUCGUCUUCCCACAUUUCGCUUUCCUCGAAUUUUGCCUUGCAUAAUAAGUUGUAAUAAUGAGUAUUUUUGGCCUCUCAUCACAUGUCCCAAGUAUUCAAGUUUUCGUCUUUUGAUAGUUAGUAUUAUUUCCGGUUGAUUUCCUAUCCUUAUAGUUACUUCCACGUUCGACAUUCUUUGAAUCCAUGAUAUUCGUAGGAUUCUUCUGUAACACCAAAAUUCAAUGGCGGCCAACUUAUUCAAAUGGACUUGUUUCAACGUCCACGCUUCCAAGCCAUAAAGAAGAGUAGAGAACACGUAACAUCGAAGCAUCCUAAGGCGUAGUUCUAACCUUAUAUCCCGACAACAAAGAAACUUUUUAAGUUUAAUGAAUGAUGUACGUGCUAUUUCAAUACGUGUCUUAAUUUCUUUGGUUUGGUCUACAUUUGAUGUUAUCCAUGUUCCAUGUUGUAUAACAUUUGAUGUUAUACAAGUAUUUGUAGUUAUCCACACUCUCAAUCGCAGUAUCUUCAAUAGUUAAUUGGAUGUUUACGUGUGCUGAUUUAGUUAUGAUCAUGCAUUUAGUUUUCUUUAAAUUCAUCUUCAGUCCGUACUCAUGACUGCAUUAUGUUCUGUAAAUCAUUGUUGUUAUCUGUUUUUAUUACUGUAUCGUCUACAAAACGUAAGUUGUUCAAAACUUCUCCAUUGAUAGAUAUACCUUCUAUUGAAUCUGAGAGCGCUUCUUGAAAUACCGCUUCACUGUAGACAUUGAAAAGUAGUGGAGACAGCACGCAACCCUGACGGACUCCUCUCUGUAUUUUGAUAUCUUUGGUGUCCUGGUUGUCAACUCUUACCUUGGCAGUUUGGCUUGGCUUGGCGAACAAUCGAACAUUAGAGAGAUUAAAUUAAAACUGUUUUUUAAAGGCAAUCUACAAUUUUAGGAUUCAUAUGCGUUUAAGUUUAUUUGAUAUACUAUAGUUAUUACACAUAUAAAAGUGUAGAUUGCCUUUCUAAAACUGUUUUAAUUUAAUCCCUCUAAUGUUCGAUUACAAAUUAUUUUUGAUAAAAUCGGCGUCACCGCGCUAAAAACCCUCAUAAGGACUGCAUUGCCUAUGUCCUUUAUACUGUAAAGUCAAGGUGAGACAAACAUUAGAUAAUUGAACUCGUUAACCAUUUCAAACUGAUCCAAGGCUACAAUUGUUUGCAGUGAGUUUGAAUAAUCAACUAUCAUCGAUGUCAUCUAUACUGAUAUUAAACAGAUACCUCUCUCUCUUUUAAAAACUGAUUUCUUUGGUAAUGUAUUCUUUAUAUGCUUCUUAUUUAUUUUUUGGUGUCAAGAAGGCAUGUUGUUACCUAUUUAUCUAUUAUUUAAUAAUCCUUUUUGAUAUAGUGUUAAGAAACGCCAAAAUAAUUGAUCAUGUUAAUCUUUAUCUGAUGACAUACCCUCAACAUUGUUACAGCCAUUACCUUGCGCGCUAUAUUUUCUGAGUCAUGAACAUGAAAUUUUCUGAACAUCACGAAAUUCAUGUAUAAAAAACUCUUCUUCUUUUAGUGCCUAUUCGUUUCGAAUAUUGAUAAAUAUACCAGAUUAAUUAAUAGUAAAGUAAAUAUACCGUGUAUAUUUAUUUUAUUUCAAAGUGAGCAUGCUCCACUUGUCGUGGACUAGUCCCUGGCUGUCUGCGCGAACACACUUGUUGGUAGUAUAACAAAUUUUAUCAAAAAUGGUAAAUAAAUAUUACAUUAACGUCAAAUUGUGGUCGCCAAAAGUGUCAGGCGAUUACGCUAGGUGUCGCGUCAGUCAUGCACGGAGCGAAUAGUUAUUUGGUAUGGCAUAUAAUCAGUUUUGUAACAGUUUUAGUGUGUCACUUUUAAAGGUCGACUAAUAUUUUUGUUACCGUUUUAUAUGUAAUUGGAAUAAUAAUUUAGUUUUACUCUAGCUUUAAGGUUUUCAGAGACUGUUUAAUUUUAGUGAAGUAGAAUAAACAACCUGAAAUAUAAUAUACACCCUCAAAUUAAUUGAAUUUUCGUUUUAUAAUUUUGACAAUAUUUUAGUUAAUAUUUUGUUUACUGAUAUCUUUUCAAGUUACUUUAAGUAAAAUAUGAAUCUCCAA